rnacentral:lncRNA from 1 species
GAACAGGAGCGAGGGUCAGUCGGCGUACCUCAGCUCUCAUUCUUUCCGAUAUUGAUUUCUGGCUUCACCCGCAGUGGGAAAGGGAGAGAUUGAGAGCGAGAGAGGGAGCGAUGGGCAAUUUGAUGAGUUCUUUCUUCAACAAGGAGCCUCCACCGCCCAUGGUGCUGGUUCCCCCCAUCUUCGACUUCCCUCCCCUCUCGGCGCGCACCAGGUUCUCUUCUUCUUCUUCUUUGGUUUCCCCCCCGGUUUUCAUGCUUUUCUUCUCUCCUUUUCUGAUUAUUCUCGAUUCAUUUACUGAACCAGAUGGCUUACUUUUGUUGCCGUCGCUCGUCUCUGCUGAGAGUUCCUGUUUUUCUGCACUAAUCUUAGAAAUCCAACCCACCCACACACACCAAACCCCCCGCGGGCCGUAUUUUUUUAUGGUUUUGGGUUUAUUUUGAUGGAAUUUAGUCUGGUUCUUUGUACUUAAUAAUGUACCUCAGAAUGCAUGACACCUAUUUGUUUUUUUGGUGCAUGACAUUGUUUUUCAGAUACUUAGUGUUCCGACGUCUCGCCAUGUUGAAUUGAUAUUCUUGGUUUGUAGCCGUUCUGGUUUGCCAAUAUUUGGAUUUGUUAAACUUUUUUGUAAGUUGGUGAUAUUAUUUGAUAAUUCUGGCAGGAGAUUAGUUACCCAUGGGUAAAGAUAGAGUUUGUAUGCAAAGGAACUUGAAAAUAGAUUAGUAAGAAGUUGCAGAUCAGUCGAAGUUUGAGAAGAUUUAUGCAAUUUUGAUGAUUUAGUAGGGAAUAUUAAUCGAUGCCUUUCAGUUAUUGAUGCUAAGUGGUUAAUAUGUUGAUAAUGAGCAUUGUUAUAGGUACAGUGGUGUGCAUAACCAUUUAUUGGCCAUGUGGUUUGGCUGCAUGGCUUUAAAAUACUUUAGAAUUAACGUUGGAAAUAAUUUUCUCUUAAAACUUGUUGCUUGAAAUCCAGUCCUUCAGAGACUUGAUAGAUAUUUAGCUAGCUGGGACUUCACUCAAUACUGUCCAUGAUAGUCCUGUCUAGUUUCCUAUUUUUACAUAAUAAUGCAGCCAAUUUUUUGCACUUCUUACUGAAAUGAUUUUAGCAGAGAGAGGAGUUUCUUCCUUCGGUCCACUCAACUGGAAUCUCUUACAUAUCCUUAAAGAUGUUGACAUCCAAAGUGUAGGCGGAUCUCACUUUAAUAUGUUAAUUAACUAGUAGAGCUUAACAACUUGAACUGUUGGGGGAGGGGCCAACAAUGUAUAUUAGACCUUAAUACUCCUGUCACGAAUGAAAGCGAACCUUGAUGCAACGGUAAGAUUGCUCUAUUGUGACUUGGGUGUCACGAGUUUGAAAUACAAAAACAGCUUCUCAAGACACGGGGUAAGGUAGUGUACAUCGGACACUCCCUAAACCCUACAGUGGUGGGAACUUCAUGCACAAGGGUGCUCUUUUUUAGCCGAUCCUGACUAAUUUCGGAUUAAGACUUAAUUGAGUUGAGUUGUAACACCCUUCAUCAUGUUCGGCCUGGAUUAUGCGUGUGAAGGAAUAAACAAGUCAAGAACAACUCAAGAUAACGAGUCAAGAAUGUCUCAAAUGCAACUGAGAACAAGUCAAGAAAAGAAAGGACUCAUGAUACCAAACAGGCGAUCUAGAGAAAAGUCUUCCUAAAUGGGGAAUUACCUUUGUGAUACUAUGUUAACUAAGUCCUAAAUCCCAAAAGCUUAAGCUAUUAGGAAAAGGUUAACAAUGUAUAUCAAGCCUUAACAUAAUCAUCCUCUAAUUAAAUCACAGAUGAAAGAAUCAUAUAUUUGUGAUUUUGCAAUAGUACAAUAGCGAUUACAAUUUGAAUUAUUUGUUCAAAACUGUGAUUUGAUCCUUCAAUGUCAUUAUCUUUAAAUCAAUUCAUGCUAUAUCAACUUGCUUCUAUCGCUAAGAUAUAAAGACCUUGGACAUAAAUAUACAAGCAACAAAUUAUUUUUCGUUUUGCAUAUUAUUGAUUCUAAGUAUCAACUCAGACUCUGUGAUUUGUACUACUAGCAAAAUACAUGAUAUCCAUACCUUUCAAUAUGGAAAACACCAAGUGUAUAUUCACUGUUUUUUGAGCUACAAACUAGAAUCUGUUAAAAAAUAUGGAAUAUCAUGUUCUAAUACUUUAGUCUUUGAUAUGAUUUUUUACAACUUAAAGUCAUAGGGUCAAAGCAUGCUUAUCUGUUACAGGAAAAAGAGGGAAACUAAAGGUAUAAGAAAUAUAUGAUGAUAUUGAACCUUUGCUGCCUCUACAUAUUGAGUUGUAUUUUUCUUUACCUUUUAACCAUUAUAGGACGAUCACAGGUUGCAUCAAGUGAUCACUAUUUAUUCCACUCUGGGUUAAUCUUGAAAUCUACUGAACUUCAUUUUUCUCUAUGGUGAUACAGGAUGUUAGUUCCAGCUUAUGACUUACUAUUUGGGAAGCUUGCAUUGUGUUCCCUUUUCGAGGACUACUUUGAGCAAGCAAGGAAUCUUAACACAAGAAUCAUGCUAAAACCAUUGGAGGAUCCUCAUGUGGAUUUAAUUGCAACUGUAUCCAACAAGCUUUAGAUGGCAUUUCAUGAUUGUUAUAUAAAUCAUUCCUUGAUUCCUUUUGAUUUUUUUCCCUCACUUAAAGAGUAGAUGUAUUGAGAAUCCUGAUUCCAAUUAGGAGUUUUUGGCAUAACAAAGGAGCACCUUCUGUUUUUGUUCAUUUUGACUUGCCUGUUAGAUCUGCUAGGAGCCUGGUUUUUCUGUUUGACGUUAUUAACUACACAACUAUGCCUUCAACAUUUUUAUACUCAUAUUCUGUACCUAUACUGUUUUCUAUUUUGAAAAGGCAACGUGACCGUCAAUUACAAGAAAUCAAAGCAAUGAAGUGUUUUUAGACUACAAAUAUGUUAUUCUUACAAUACAACUGUUCUUGACUUUGCUUUCUCUGAAAAAAGGAGAUGCACACAAAUUAGCUCCAACAUUAAGGAUUCUUUGCAUAAGCAGCAUCAACAGCAACAGCAACAACAAUAGUAACAAUAAAAUAGUAAUAGUACUAGUAGUAGUCUGACCUUUUCGACAUCCUCAUCUUUAAAACAAGUUGCACUUAUUUGUUUGUUCUUAUGGUUAUGGUCAUGUAAUAUAAAUCAAGUCAGUUUUCCCCUCGUCAUGACCUCAUCUUGAGCAAGUGCAUGCUUGUUUAUAUAGUGUGCAAGCUUGAAGUUCUUGAUUUUCCGGGCCAUCAAAUAUCUUCAUGGUUGUUCCUAGGGGUUGAAACUUAUACUUUUACCAGCCUUUUGUCAGAUGAACUAUAUGGACAUAUCUUGAGCCAACGCAUUUUUUCUGUUCACUUGUAGGAAAAACUGAUCCAUUCCUUUAUGGAUGCCUUCAUCCCCUACCUCCGCCUUUUCAGCAGCUUAUGAUAGGGGGACCUGUUUCCCUUCUUAAUUUAUUCAGUACUUCUGAACUUUUCUUAUUCUUUACUUUGAUCAUUUGCACACUUUCAUACUCUCUCUCUUCCACCAGGCCGCAUGAUCUCUUCAAUUCUGCCAUAUCAUUUUAGGUUGAAGACGAUCUUUGAGCCUGAUCUUAAUCCAUUUGUGUAACACCUUGUAUUAUUAUAAUUUAUACCACUAUCUCUACUUAUCUGCCAAAUAUGAUGCUUUAGUUUGCCAAGCUAAUGGAAUGAAGGCCAAGUGUGUGGUGCUAUCAGUUGUUUCAGUUGAUUGCUUUUUCUUUCUUUUCAUUGUACAUGCAGAGGUAUUGGUCACAGUUGUCCUGCAUUAUUCUGGCAAAUUUUAAAUAGAAUACAAGAUUUUUUGCUCUUUAGCAAAUGAAAUGUUGCUUGCCUUAAUAUUUUUAAGGUGUCAGGUUCCCUUGAUCAGAAAUCUGGGAAGGCUGUUGAAGGAAAUGCAAUAUUCCGCUGGCAAAAGUUGUGCUUGUUAUCAAUAAGUUUUCUGUUUAACAUUCUAAUACCAAUCAAGCAUUAUAUUUGCAUCAAUGAUCAACAAAUGAGGUUGCUAUUUUCAUUUUGGCUUUCUCUUUUAUAGGGACUUGGAUGAUCCUCAUACAUUUAUGGACCUUAUGGUAUCUACUUCUGAUCCGUAAGAAUCUAAUCAUUGGAAGAGACAUCUACUUUCCUCAAAUAGAUGUUAGUUUUCACCUUAAAUUGUUAGAUGUGCUAAUCUUUCAUUUUCAAUUGUAUUAUGUCUUGUUUGUCAGCAUACUGCGUUUGAGGUCAUGUGCUUACUACCCUAGAUAUCAAUUUGGAGCUUUUGGUAUAUUUCCUUUGAUAAUAACAAAAAGGUUUGUUCUUUAAUUUGUCAUAUUGAAUCUCCUGGUCAUGUUAUUUAUCAAAUUGUUAGAUAUUAACUUUUAUCAUUAAUAUUCAUUGGAGAAAUAAUGGUUUUUUUACUAUCUUUUCUCUCACAUAAUUUGAAAUUUUUUUCAUAUUUUUCAUAUUGUCUCAUAUUAUAAAGUUCUCUUUGAGAAAGAGAAAGGAAAGACCUAAAAUAAAUUAUGUGAAAGUUGUUAAAAUCAUACAUCAUUGAUUUAUUGUAAAGUGCAAUCUAGUGAUUCAUUUCCAAUUACAAUGCUACUUUGGGAAUGUAUCAGUUUCUUUUGAUCUUCUAUACUCUUUCUUAAUCAUUUGUUAUUACUAUUAUUAUUAUUAUUAUUUAUUGUUUCUAAUUAUGUUACUAUUUCUAUUACUAUCAAGAUUCAAAAAUUGGUAACGUGACCCGUAUUGGUCGUUAUGGUAUGGUUUGGCACCAAUGAGCACAAAAGAGAGAAGAAGAAGGUGGAGAGUGAAGGGGAAGAAGGUCCUACUAGAGAAAGGGAGGCAGAUUGGGAUCGGAUAUCAUUGAUUGGGGUUAGAGCUCAUCGAUCAGGACCGCAGAUCAUUGAUUGGAGGCCGAAGCUCGUCGAUCGGGCUUGACGUCAUUGAUCGGGUGCUGGUGGUCGUUAAUCGAGGGCCAAAGGUCAUCAAUCAGGGUCCGAAGAUCAUCGAUCAAGGCUGGAGCCAUCGGCAAGGUCCCCUGUAGCAUCGUUGCCAGAAGAAAGGAGGAGAUUAGGGGGAUGGUGAGGUAGAGGGAUUGAGGGAGAGAGAGAGGGCAAGAGAUCUCAAGGGUGACGGCUAGGGUUCGAAGAGGAGAGAAGAGAGAGAGAGAGAGAGAGAGAGAGAGAGAGAGAGAGAGAGAGUAGUAGAGCUGGUCGUCCGAGUCCAAGAGAAAAAAGCGGGAUCCCCAGGAACAGGAGCGAGGGUCAGUCGGCGUACCUCAGCUCUCAUUCUUUCCGAUAUUGAUUUCGGGCUCCACUCGCAGUGGGAAGGGAGAGAUUGAGAGCGAGAGAGGGAGCGAUGGGCAAUUUGAUGAGUUCUUUCUUCAACAAGGAGCCUCCACCGCCCAUGGUGCUGGUUCCCCCCAUCUUCGACUUCCCUCCCCUCUCGGCGCGCAC